GCUCGGUAAAUAAAUUGUUCGAUGGUGCUCGGUAAAAAAAAAUAGACUGCUCUAAAAAUAACAAUUUCCAUCCCUGUACGCAAUGGAUGCUCCCUAAUAGUGAGAAU